GUCGAGAAUCUUCGGCAAUGGGCGCAAGCCUGACCGAGCGACGCCGCGUGGAGGACGAAGGCCUUCGGGUUGUAAACUCCUGUCGAGGGGGAAGAAGCCGCAAGGUUGACUGAUCCCUGGAGGAAGCACGGGCUAAGUUCGUGCCAGCAGCCGCGGUAAGACGAACCGUGCGAACGUUAUUCGGAAUCACUGGGCUUAAAGCGCGUGUAGGCGGAAGGGCACGUCGGUUGCUGAAAGCCCCCGGCUCAACCGGGGAACGGGCGCCGAAACGACCUUUCUCGAGGGGCGUAGGGGGAGCUGGAACUUCCGGUGGAGCGGUGAAAUGCGUUGAGAUCGGAAGGAACGCCCGUGGCGAAAGCGAGCUCCUGGACGCCAUCUGACGCUGAGACGCGAAAGCCAGGGGAGCGAACGGGAUUAGAAACCCUAGUAGUCC
rnacentral:rRNA from 1 species